UUAAAAAUUUAAGUUUAUGGUGUUUCGUGGUUGUUUUGUUUUAAAAGUAUCUAUAUAUCCCGUUUAUAUUAGUGUUUCCUAAAAACGCGAACUAAAUUCAAACUUCGAAACCGCGUCUACGAUAUUCAUACAACAUUCAAACAUCGUUUCCAAAACAAGUCACAAAUUAAAAUUUUAUGACCGCAUUAAAUUUUUCGCAGAUAUUUACUUUUAGGUGUACGAAAUUCGCCAAAUUCGUCUUGUUCUCUUAGGUUCACAAUCAAAUGUCAAAAACAUGCGGCAGCAGUUUUGAAUUACGACGGCUUUGAUUUUAUAUCGAUUUGGAGGAUUUUGCAAUUUGAUUAAACCGAUUACUCAUUGAGCAUCAUAUAUUUAAGAAGCCCUUUUCCGUGGUGAAAAAUACUGACUGCAUACAAUGGAAGCUUGCAGUCUCUGCAGUCAACGGAUGUCCGUAGGUGCCUUUUGGCCACAUUGUUUGCCAACCAGUUGGGCAGACAAAUUACAGUUUGAAAGGUCGCCAGCGGCAAACUUGAAAAGGCCGACGAUGAGAUAUGCAUGUAUGUCUUUUGUUUUGUCAAUCUCUAUUGCAUAUUUAAUAUUCUUUUAUUUUCCACCAAAAUGAAUUCAGUUUUGUUCGUUUUCAUGAAACGAUCGUUUUGUUUUCGCUUGUCCACAUGUUUAUUCAAAUCGCCACACUGAACAUUGUCCAUUACAAUAAAUUCCAAAGUCAUCAUA